GUCUACGGCCAUGCCACCCUGAACAAGCGCGAUGUCUGAUCUCGGUAGCUAAGCAGGGUUGGGCCUGGUUAGUACUUGGAUGGAAGACCAGGUGCUGUAGGCA
rnacentral:rRNA from 1 species